rnacentral:rRNA from 1 species
UUCCGGUUGAUCCUGCCAGAGGUCACUGCUAUCGGGGUUCGAUUAAGCCAUGCGAGUCGAGAGGGUUCGGCCCUCGGCGUACUGCUCAGUAACACGUGGAUAACCUGCCCUAGGGGAGGGGAUAACCCCGGGAAACUGGGGAUAAUACCCUAUAGGUUACAGAUGCUGGAAUGCCCUGUAACCAAAAGCUCCGGCGCCCUAGGAUGGAUCUGCGGCCGAUUAGGUUGUUGUUGGGGUAACGGCCCAACAAGCCCGUAAUCGGUACGGGUUGUGGGAGCAAGAGCCCGGAGUUGGAUUCUGAGACACGAAUCCAGGCCCUACGGGGCGCAGCAGGCGCGAAACCUUUACAAUGCGGGCAACCGUGAUAAGGGAACCUCGAGUGCCUGUAAACGCAGGCUGUUCAGGUGUUUAAAACGCACCUGGAGAAAGGGCCGGGCAAGACCGGUGCCAGCCGCCGCGGUAAUACCGGCGGCUCGAGUGGUGGCCGCUUUUAUUGGGCUUAAAGCGUUCGUAGCUGGGUUGUUAAGUCUCUUGGGAAAUCUGGCGGCUUAACCGUCAGGCGUCUAAGGGAUACUGGCAAUCUUGGAACCGGGAGAGGUGAGGGGUACUUCGGGGGUAGGGGUGAAAUCCUGUAAUCCUCGAGGGACCACCUGUGGCGAAGGCGCCUCACCAGAACGGCUUCGACAGUGAGGGACGAAAGCUGGGGGAGCAAACCGGAUUAGAUACCCGGGUAGUCCCAGCCGUAAACGAUGCGCGUUAGGUGUAUCGGUGACCACGAGUUACCGAGGUGCCGAAGGGAAACCGUGAAACGCGCCGCCUGGGAAGUACGGUCGCAAGGCUGAAACUUUAAAGGAAUUGGCGGGGGAGCACCACAACGGUGGAGCCUGCGGUUUAUUUGGAUUCAACGCCGGAAUCACUAAUGCGGCCGCCUGCAGGUCGACCAUAUGGGAGA